UCACAUUCUGUCUUGUCAGUGUGGACACUGUAGUGCGUACCUUUAUGAAACACACAAAGAAGGUUCUAGAAUGUUCUGUUCUCUUUCCAGCCUCACUUUCCUCCCAUGAUGCCACUCUCUGAGGACCAGCUGGGAGGUUGCUAGUGACUACCCUGGGAGACACCCCACCCACCUGUGUCUUGGGGGAUUCUGAAACAGGUGCAAGAUGCCAGCCUGCUUAGGGGCAGAGUUACUUUGUCACAGAGAACAACCCUAAGGCCCCUGCAGACUAGAAUGACAGCGAAGACAAAAAGAAUGAAAAAAAAAUUUUUUUAAAUAAAUUUUAAAAAAAACUGCCGCUGCCAGAAUGAAGCUGGAAUCUUUCCCCCUGCCUAGACCCAGCUGAUUUAAGGACUGAGAGCAAACCCCAAACCUGAAGCCGGUGCCUCCCCCAAGAGCGCUUUUCUACCAGCCAGAGUUAACUGUGGCCCACUUUAGGGAGCAAUCAGCUUCCUUUAGAUCAACCCCAGACAUAACAGGACUGAUGCACAGAUGAAUUCAGAGACUGUGACAGUGUACCCAAGACCUGCACAGGUUCAAACCAGAGGGGGUCCCAACAAUGAGAGAGAAGUAGACCAGGGGUCCCACGCUUAAUCAAGAAGCCUUUCGUACAAACACAAAGCCUAAAACCCUCCUAGUGCUCCAGGUGGCCUUCUGCCCUGUUCCUUUGCUACUCGAAAACCUCCCAGAGGAUUCGAGCGGUCGGUCGGAGGACGUGAAUUCCAUAGAGGCGGUCUCCGUUCAGUAGAUAAUUCUGUUGUAAUGGUUAUUACCACCUUCCAGCCUGCACGGCUCAGAUAAAUAGAAAAUGCAUUCAGUGUUUACACGUCUUCCCAGGGGGGGAAGGAGGGCCUGGGUUCCAACCCUAAAGAAGAGGCAACUGCUACGCAGCACACGGGAGUAUAGCUGAAAAACUGGGAUCUGAUCCUGAAAUAGAUCUUCACAAAUGGAGGGGCUGUGGUGUGCUCAGUGGUACGGUGCUUCCCUGGCACAUGGAAGAUUCUAGGUUCAAUCCUUGGAGCCACAAUCAACAACCAAGACAAAAAGGAAUCCACGAGAUAGCUUUACUCAAUUGUGGGGCUGAGUCCAUUUAAGCAAACGUGGCCAAGCUGAACUGAGCGCCUGCAAGGCUCAUGACCACAACCAGAAGACGGACUUGUUUUGGAUGCUGCCCCAAGCCUCCUUCUCCCCUGCACUGUAAAAUGUUGCGAUGGUCCAGUGUUUUCUACAGCUCUCAGAGAUGAAGGUCGGUGGCAGCUAGCACACUUCAGAAGCUUGUGUGUUCAUGAAGGGGUGGAGAAGAAAGAAGAAAGAAAACAGGUGAGCU
rnacentral:lncRNA from 1 species